GAUCCGGCAGAACCAAAUAUAGUCGAGCCUGGAUAUUUUUAGCCGGGCCUCGGGCGCGAGCCCGCCGCGUGAGGGGGCGCCCUGACCCCGCCAGGAGUGCGGAGGGGGCGGGGGCGGAGUCGCCAUCUUGGACCCGGCUCGACCCUGUCUAGUGACCGGCGGCGCUGGGCCAGGCUCUGCGCAGGGGGUCGGGGGUCUCACUGAAGUCCUCCAUUCUUCUCAAGUCCACUCCGGUCAUGAUGAGUGUCAGGUGCUGCCUGGGGUAGAAACCAGUGACUACAAAGCUGUAAAGGAAAAGGGUUAGUGUCUGAGCGUCUGCAGUCACACCUGUGUGUUCUUUCAGGCUCUGCAUAUUCACCUCAGCGGACAACACGAGUGCUGCCUCAAAUGAAACUUCUCUUGACUACCUCCUCUGCCACCCCCAAUGUAAAAGAGCUACCUGUGACGGGAAGAAAACCAGAACUUAGGUUACCAGACCUGGCGUGACUCUUGCUCUGUCACCGGGAGGAUUCAUAAAAAUCACGUUCCUGCUCCUUUCCAGGAAAAUGCAAUUACCUGCCUCAAGGACUGCUAGGGUGGCUGGAUGACCCGGCCCGUGUAAAUAAAAAGGUGAAAUACAGUGCCAGGCCUCGAACCAGGGCUGCAGACAAGAGAGACAGCACAUCUCGCUUCGAUGAACUCACAGUCUGGUGGGGAAAUGGAUACUGAAAAAUCCGUCAUGAGUGUGACUCGGGGCCUGGAGGAGGACAGAUGUCUUCUCCAAGAAAACCACUCUGCCCCUGAAGUGUGAUGGGGGUUGCCCUAGGAGGGUUGGGGUUUCCGUUGGCAUUCACAGAAACAAGAAUAUUGACUAAAGAAAAUUCCAGAUGCAGACUGGAACCAGCUUCUGAUGUUCUGGUGUUCAUCCGUGCCUGGCUUGGAAUAAAAAACUCCAUACAUUUGGAUUUUUCCUAAACCAGGACAUACUAUCUUAUUGGGGCAAAAAUGUUCCCUCCAUAUCCAUAACAAAUCAUUCUCCUCAGAUUUAGCUCUAGAUAGUUUUGCCAUGACCUUAGAGGACAUCAUGCUUAUGAGCAUGAAUUCAGAAGUUUUAUAGAUUGAAUUAUAUAUUUUUUAAAGUUUU